UACAGAAAGGAACAAAUACAAUAAGAGCAAAGCCAAAGGGUCAGGGAUACCAACAAUAUGGGAAGUCAAGCCAAGCCAAGAUCAAUAACCAAUGAACAGUAUCAGGAACGCGCUCUCGGAUAACCAACAGGAUGGAAACCACAACAGGGCACUAAACCACUGCAGGUUUGGGUUUAAAUAACCCAGUAAACCCUGCUGUGGCGAAACCAACCUAGUCACUGGGCAUUGGAGAAGCC